GGGGCUGGGCUCAAUGUGGGCAGAGUGAAACGUCUGGGCCGGGCUCAAUGUGGGAGGAGUCAAAAGCGUUUAACCCGAACCCCUCAAGGUCACCCAAAUUGAGGUAAAUGUCGAAGGUAUUAACGUCAACGAAAGCAAAUCUUAAUCUAACCUACAUGGAUAAAAAUAGAAACCAUGGAAAAACAUUGCUUGGAUCUUGUCCCUUGGACUUUUGGUGUGGAUGAUCAGGGCCUACCAAAGCAAGGUUUCUCAAACAACUGUGGUGUGUUUUGUUUUGAUGUUUUUACACUACAUACACAAUUCAUACAUCAGACUCCUGCAGAGCUGGAUGCUGAUGUGACAUGCUGUGACUUCUUGGGGGCAAAUUAGGUGACGGUGGUGGCUAGUUCUCCUGCAGAACUUUCCCAUGCCUUAAGUCUGAAGAAGAGGUUGAAAGAUUGAAAAAGGCGGCGAAAACAAAACGCACUACAGACGAUACUGAAAACAAAAUGCACGGCGAACUGGGAACUGGGAGCUGUGAACUGGGAAGCAGAUGUUCUUCUAAGAGACACCCUAGAGGCAGCAAGGUGGUGUGAACUCCACAAGUUUUAAAGGCACUGUUUCCCUCCCUAGUGUAACUGGGAUGGACGGGGAAGACACAUUACAACCCUUAAGGAACUACGGUUGUAUGAUGGCCUGGAUGAAGAGGAAAAUAUUCUCAAGUAACCAUUCAUGUUACAGAGAUAUUAUGAGAUGUUCUAUGUGGAGGCAGUUGACAACAAUAAAAUUACUGUCUUUGCCUCUUUUGAGGAGCAGGAGUGAAGCCAUUUUUGAGGAGUGGUCAAACCUUGUUUUUGUCUGCGCUGUUAAUUGUUUCAUGUUGUUCAGUAAAGAUGUAGAAGUCACCGUC